rnacentral:rRNA from 1 species
UACGGGGGGGGCAAGCGUUGUUCGGAAUUACUGGGCGUAAAGGGUGCGUAGGUGGUUGGAUAAGUCUGAUGUGAAAUCUCCGAGCUUAACUCGGAAAUGGCAUUGGAAACUAUUCGACUAGAGAGUUGGAGGGGGGACUGGAAUACUUGGUGUAGCAGUGAAAUGCGUAGAUAUCAAGUGGAACACCAGUGGCGAAGGCGAGUCCCUGGACAACUUCUGACACUGAGGCACGAAAGCUAGGGGAGCAAACAGG